GCGCAGGCAAGCACACGAAUCGCUAAAGGCCAGUCCCGCCGACCCCGGCCAAGCCCACCCGGCACCUAACAUUGCACAGGGAGCCAGGGGCCGCCAGCCAGCCGUAGGAGGAACCACCACGUAUGGGCUAUCAUCGAAACAUGUGGCGCAACCCAGGGUACAUUUCUAGUGGGGUCCGAUUAACAGGGUCGUGAAAGGGACCUACAAUGCGCGCUAAGCGCCGGAAAUACGGAGAUGAAUGCGAAAUGGCCCCUGCCACAAGAUGCUGACCAUCCGGCGGGGAAGACAGACAAGAACUGAUGCUGCUUAAAUCUUCCCUUUCAGUUCCUGGCAACAUUUUUUGACAGAACCGUGGAGCCCCACAGAUUCCACACUUUCACUCUCACCACACCAGAAGCACCAGCACCCAAGAUGAAGGCGGUUUUGUAUUUAAUGAACUGAAUGCUCACAAAGGAUCUUAUUCUGAAAGCCACAGAACAAGUGGGCAGAUAGGAGAAACUGUUGGGGGGAGGGGUGAAGAGGGGACCAAAGAUGCUCUCGAAGGCAACAGGAAUUCUAAAUCGGGCACUCAAGGGAAACGCUCCUGGACAGAGUGGCUAGGAAAAGCUUCCACGGGGAAGGAGGAAUCGAGGGUUGAGGACUUCAAACCCGGAACUUGCUUAGGCGAAGAAAACAUUCCCAUUCGGAAGACCCUCCAGUGCAGAGACAAGGAAUCUGAACAUGCAGAGGGUACUAUGAGAGAUCGGCUUGGCUCAAGCUGGGAACUGGCUUUCCAAAGUUGAGGGAGAAAAUGCUAGCGAUAAUGCCCCAGGAGCCAAAGGGUUAAUGAAUUUCCUAAAUGUGCCUGACUUACUUCCAGAAAGAAGCUUCCUCCACCAGGGAGAAUCUGGCUCAAGGUAAAAAACAGUCCAAGCGUCUGAGAAAACAUGUAACCGUACAUAAAUCCAAAGUCUGCCUCCGGCUUGCUCUCGGUACACCCUUUCCGUUCUUGGAUGCAGACAACACACUCGACCGACAUCCCAUGCAGCGCACUCCCUUGACCAGUAGCUUAUCAUGCACUCCUGUCACAUUCCAGCUCUAAGAUGGUCCCACAUAAUAAGUCCUCGGUUUGUGCAAAAAAUAGUGCGGAACACUCAGCAUUCAUUGUGCAACAGCGGUGUGAGAUCAGCAGGGCUGGCACCGAAAGUUCAAUACUCGUAUUUUUCUAACCCCAGUCUGAGACCUAUACUAUGACAGGCACAAGGCUAUUUCUGUAGACAACGAGACAGAACUGGGACUGCCACUUUGAAGAGCCACCUAUAAUUAUCGAUUCAUAUAAAUGGAGGAAGUUCAACAUGGGAGAAAUUUGGUCGAACAGCAGCACAUAUUAGAGACUUAGGGCUUUAGGUGACAGUCAAUCAAUGUGAUAUGGCUCAAAAAAUGCCACUGUAGAUUGCAGAAUGUAAUUAGAGAAGUACCCGGGAUGAACUAAUCCUCCUCUAUUUUGCUAGUUAGACUUCACAGAAAGUAUUUCAUUCUGUUUUACAAAGCAAUUUAAGAGACCCAUAAACAGGAGUGCGUUCAGAGAGGAUCACCUAAAAUGCAUUACAAAUUAUGUCACUGAAGGCAUAGCCGCUCUCGUAUUUUAAGCAUGGAUCUUCACCAGUUUAUCCCUAAUCCUUACAAUAACUCAGUGAGAUGACUAUUUUCGUCCACAUCUCGCAGAGAAAGAUACAGCGGCUCACAGCACUGAGUGUUAGUAUGUAAAGGACUGGGAACUGAACACAGAUGUGUCUGGCUCCAAAGCUGGCGUUCUUUCCACCACCCCACACUGCCUCCCUGUUUAAAAUAACUGGGCAUGUUCAGUUGGAAGAAAAGAAGCCUUGUGGAGUGAGUGGAAGAAGGAAAUGUGUUAGCAGUCCUCAAAUAUUUGUGGAAGCAGCAUUAGACAUUUUAUUCUGUAUGGCUCCAACGAGUGCAAAUUGUAGAGAAACAGAUGUCGAUUCAACAUAAAGAAUUUUCCAACAGUCAGGUCUGUCUAGGGAGACUGAGUGGCUCAGCCAUUUGGGGACGUGACAGGUCCCUCAUCACUAGGGGCCGGGUAAUCCUGUGGCAGGUAUGCAAGCUCUGGAAGAAUGCACGAAUGACCUUUAAGGUUUUCUCCCACCUAACAGGAAACUAAGGAUCAGAGAGGUAUUGGAACCUGGCCAGGGUGACCCUUCUCCGGAAGGGUCAAAUCCACGACUAGGUCUUCCCUAGCUGUCCCUCAGGCCACCACUCUUUGUACAACGUGAUGUUUCAAGCAGAGGGCAAGACAAAUUGAAGAAAUUCUCAACACAGUUACAUCAACCGCCCUCUCAGCCAAACUUAAUCAAUACAUCCCCAGAGUGACUGGUUUUUUUCCCUCUUCGGGCUCAUGUCUGGGUAAAAGUCUUUGGCUGCAGAAAGUUCAAAAGAUGUGGUGGAGAAGCAUCAAGGUGAAUAAUCCGUUAGCCAGAUAAAACGAACCUAAGUGACAGACAGCUGUUUCUAUAGAUUACCAUGUCACUGGGCACCCCUAAAGUAUCUUUACACACCUCUGUAUCACUCCCAUAAUCCCACACCUGGCGCUGUUCCACUCGUCCGUAUCUACAGUCCAUCUUCCACACUCACACGGAUACGUAGGUUGCAGGAUUCCAAAUAAAAUGGUCUCUUGCAUUUUUACA